UCCGUGUUAACCACGGCAGUCUCCUUAGAGAGCCCAACUGAAUGCUGGCAACUAAGGACAAGGGUUGCGCUCGUUGCGGGACUUAACCCAACAUGUCACCACACGAGCUGACGACAGCCAUGCAGCACCUGUCUUCCGGUCGUAUUGCUACGAACUCCCUAUCUCUAGGGAUAGCCGGAGAUGUCAAAUCCAGGUAAGGUUCUUCGCGUUGCUUCGAAUUAAACCACAUGAUCCACCGCUAGUGCGGGCCCCCGUCAAUUCCUUUGAGUUUUAGUCUUGCGACCGUACUUCCCAGGCGGGGUACUUAUUGCGUUAGCUCCGACUCGGCAGGGGUCAAAUCCCACCAAGUCUAGUACCCAUCGUUUACAGCGUGGACUAC
rnacentral:misc_RNA from 1 species